rnacentral:rRNA from 1 species
CCUACGGGUGGCUGCAGUGGGGAAUAUUGGACAAUGGGGGGAACCCUGAUCCAGCCAUACCGCGUGUGUGAAGAAGGCCCUCGGGUUGUAAAGCACUUUCAGUGAGGAAGAACGCCUGGUGGUUAAUACCCAUCAGGAAAGACAUCACUCACAGAAGAAGCACCGGCUAACUCCGUGCCAGCAGCCGCGGUAAUACGGAGGGUGCGAGCGUUAAUCGGAAUUACUGGGCGUAAAGCGCGCGUAGGUGGCUUGAUAAGCCGGUUGUGAAAGCCCCGGGCUCAACCUGGGAACGGCAUCCGGAACUGUCAAGCUAGAGUGCAGGAGAGGAAGGUAGAAUUCCCGGUGUAGCGGUGAAAUGCGUAGAGAUCGGGAGGAAUACCAGUGGCGAAGGCGGCCUUCUGGACUGACACUGACACUGAGGUGCGAAAGCGUGGGUAGCAAACAGGAUUAGAUACCCUUGUAGUC